CAGUAGCCGCGGGAAUACAGAGGGUGCGAGCGUUAAUCGGAUUUACUGGGCGUAAAGCGUGCGUAGGCGGCUUUUUAAGUCGGAUGUGAAAUCCCUGAGCUUAACUUAGGAAUUGCAUUCGAUACUGGGAAGCUAGAGUAUGGGAGAGGAUGGUAGAAUUCCAGGUGUAGCGGUGAAAUGCGUAGAGAUCUGGAGGAAUACCGAUGGCGAAGGCAGCCAUUUGGCCUAAUACUGACGCUGAGGUACGAAAGCAUGGGGAGCAAACAGGAUUAGAUACCCCUGUAGUCCCUGUCUCUUAUAC
rnacentral:rRNA from 1 species